ensembl:misc_RNA 7SK 7SK RNA
GGAUAGGAGGACAGUAUGUCUGCAACAUCGGUCACUUCAGUGAUCCUUGUGAUCACUUGGUUAGUCAGAACAUGAUGUCUUCUUGAUCCAUCACAGCUCCACGUGUGUCUCUCUAACCUUGGGUUUAAAAAACAAAUGUCCUUUCCAGACAAAGAGGCAUCAUUCUGAGAUCAAGGAUACAGUGUCUGUAGUAGAUUAAAGAUGACCACAAAUUACUUGCUACUUCUCCUACUGAGAGGUGGAAUCUAAU